rnacentral:rRNA from 1 species
UACAGAGGUCUCGAGCGUUAGGCGGAAUCACUGGGCUUAAAGCGUGUGUAGGCGGAUCGGUAAGUACCUUGUGAAAUCCCACAGCUUAACCGUGGAACUGCUUGGUAUACUGCCGGUCUUGAGCCAGCUAGGGGCUACCGGAACAAAUGGUGGAGCGGUGAAAUGCGUAGAUAUCAUUUGGAACGCCAAUGGUGAAAACAGGUAGCUGGGGCUGUGCUGACGCUGAGACACGAAAGCCAGGGGAGCAAACGGG